GGGGUUGUGCUCAGUGGUAGAGAGCGCGCCUCGCACAUGUGAGAACCUGGGUUCAAUCCUCAGCACCACA
rnacentral:tRNA from 1 species